rnacentral:rRNA from 1 species
AGUGAACGCUGGCGGUAGGCCUAACACAUGCAAGUCGAACGGCAGCACAGUAAGAGCUUGCUCUUACGGGUGGCGAGUGGCGGACGGGUAAGGAAUACAUCGGAAUCUACUUUUUCGUGGGGGAUAACGUAGGGAAACUUACGCUAAUACCGCAUACGACCUACAGGUGAAAGCAGGGGAUCUUCGGACCUUGCGCGAUUGAAUGAGCCGAUGUCGGAUUAGCUAGUUGGCGGGGUAAAGGCCCACCAAGGCGACGAUCCGUAGCUGGUCUGAGAGGAUGAUCAGCCACACUGGAACUGAGACACGGUCCAGACUCCUACGGGAGGCAGCAGUGGGGAAUAUUGGACAAUGGGCGCAAGCCUGAUCCAGCCAUACCGCGUGGGUGAAGAAGGCCUUCGGGUUGUAAAGCCCUUUUGUUGGGAAAGAAAAGCAGCAGGUUAAUACCCCGCUGUUCUGACGGUACCCAAAGAAUAAGCACCGGCUAACUUCGUG